UGCCUAGCGAGAACUCGGAGGAAUCGAGGG
rnacentral:piRNA from 1 species